rnacentral:rRNA from 1 species
ACGAACGCUGGCGGCGUGCCUAAUACAUGCAAGUCGAACGAAACUUUCUUACACCGAAUGCUAGCAUUCACCGUAAGAAGUUGAGUGGCGGACGGGUGAGUAACACGUGGGUAACCUGCCUAAAAGAAGGGGAUAACACUUGGAAACAGGUGCUAAUACCGUAUAUCUCUAAGGAUCGCAUGAUCCUUAGAUGAAAGAUGGUUCUGCUAUCGCUUUUAGAUGGACCCGCGGCGUAUUAACUAGUUGGUGGGGUAACGGCCUACCAAGGUGAUGAUACGUAGCCGAACUGAGAGGUUGAUCGGCCACAUUGGGACUGAGACACGGCCCAAACUCCUACGGGAGGCAGCAGUAGGGAAUCUUCCACAAUGGACGCAAGUCUGAUGGAGCAACGCCGCGUGAGUGAAGAAGGUCUUCGGAUCGUAAAACUCUGUUGUUAGAGAAGAACACGAGUGAGAGUAACUGUUCAUUCGAUGACGGUAUCUAACCAGCAAGUCACGGCUAACUACGUGCCAGCAGCCGCGGUAAUACGUAGGUGGCAAGCGUUGUCCGGAUUUAUUGGGCGUAAAGGGAACGCAGGCGGUCUUUUAAGUCUGAUGUGAAAGCCUUCGGCUUAACCGGAGUAGUGCAUUGGAAACUGGAAGACUUGAGUGCAGAAGAGGAGAGUGGAACUCCAUGUGUAGCGGUGAAAUGCGUAGAUAUAUGGAAGAACACCAGUGGCGAAAGCGGCUCUCUGGUCUGUAACUGACGCUGAGGUUCGAAAGCGUGGGUAGCAAACAGGAUUAGAUACCCUGGUAGUCCACGCCGUAAACGAUGAAUGCUAGGUGUUGGAGGGUUUCCGCCCUUCAGUGCCGCAGCUAACGCAAUAAGCAUUCCGCCUGGGGAGUAUGACCGCAAGGUUGAAACUCAAAGGAAUUGACGGGGGCCCGCACAAGCAGUGGAGUAUGUGGUUUAAUUCGAAGCAACGCGAAGAACCUUACCAGGUCUUGACAUCCUUUGACCACCUAAGAGAUUAGGCUUUCCCUUCGGGGACAAAGUGACAGGUGGUGCAUGGCUGUCGUCAGCUCGUGUCGUGAGAUGUUGGGUUAAGUCCCGCAACGAGCGCAACCCUUGUUGUCAGUUGCCAGCAUUAAGUUGGGCACUCUGGCGAGACUGCCGGUGACAAACCGGAGGAAGGUGGGGACGACGUCAAGUCAUCAUGCCCCUUAUGACCUGGGCUACACACGUGCUACAAUGGACGGUACAACGAGUCGCGAGACCGCGAGGUUUAGCUAAUCUCUUAAAGCCGUUCUCAGUUCGGAUUGUAGGCUGCAACUCGCCUACAUGAAGUCGGAAUCGCUAGUAAUCGCGAAUCAGCAUGUCGCGGUGAAUACGUUCCCGGGCCUUGUACACACCGCCCGUCACACCAUGAGAGUUUGUAACACCCAAAGCCGGUGGGGUAACCGCAAGGAGCCAGCCGUCUAAGGUGGGACAGAUGAUUGGGGUG